UCUGUCUGUUAGUACAGAGCUCUUAUUCAGCCACUAGCUCGGCCCUUCCUGCUUCAAUUGUAAUGUUUGUUCUGCCCGGGGACACACUAUUGACAGCAGAAACAAUGAAUUUCCUCCAAACCCGGCAAUGUUGGUGGCUCUUGCAUUCCUCUGGAUGAGCGAAUCUAGUUGGGGGGUUCCAGAAGGGGAAGGCGCCUGGGCUUUCAAUACAUCCUCCUGAAUCAUACUGCGUUUCAGGUUCCUUAGAAAAAUUUGGAUGUGUAAAAAGAACUCUUAACGGCUAUGCAGGUCUUCCACAGCUAAGGUUGCAUUGGAGUUUUCGAAAGACUUAUCUUUCUGCAGGCUCGCCUCUGAGCUUUGUCUCCUUGGAGCCACCUCACUUAGACAGCUUCGGAUGUGGAUGCAGAUUUGAACCAUGUUGCGUCCCCAGGGACUGCUAUGGCUCCCUUUGUUAUUCACCUCUGUCUGUGUCAUGUUAAACUCCAAUGUUCUUCUGUGGAUAACUGCUCUUGCCAUCAAGUUCACCCUCAUUGACAGCCAAGCACAGUAUCCAGUUGUCAACACAAAUUAUGGUAAAAUCCAGGGCCUAAGAACACCAUUACCCAGUGAGAUCUUGGGUCCAGUGGAGCAGUACUUAGGGGUCCCCUAUGCCUCACCCCCAACUGGAGAGAGGCGGUUUCAGCCCCCAGAAUCCCCAUCCUCCUGGACUGGCAUCCGAAAUGCUACUCAGUUUGCUGCUGUGUGCCCCCAGCACCUGGAUGAAAGAUUCUUAUUGCAUGACAUGCUGCCCAUC
rnacentral:sRNA from 1 species